rnacentral:tRNA from 3 species
UGUAGAGUAAACUAAUGGCUAGUUACCAGACUCAUUAUCUGGGUAUAUGGGUUCGACUCCUAUCUCUACUU